rfam:Picea glauca, whole genome shotgun sequence.
GGGUGUGAUCAUACCGGAAUUAAUGCACCGGAUCCCAUCAAAACUCUAUAGUUAAGCGUUCUUGGUCUAGAGUAAUACUGGGAAGGGUGACCUCCCGGGAAGUCCUAGUGUUGCACCCU